rnacentral:rRNA from 1 species
UGAUGUGAUCAUACCAGCACUAAAGCACCGAAUCCCAUCAGAACUCCGAAGUUAAGCGUGCUUGGCGAGAGUAGUACUAGGAUGGGUGACCUCCUGGGAAGUCCUCGUGUUGCAUUCC